rnacentral:rRNA from 2 species
CAACUUUCAGCAACGGAUCUCUUGGCUCUCGCAUCGAUGAAGAACGCAGCGAAAUGCGAUAAGUAAUGUGAAUUGCAGAAUUCAGUGAAUCAUCGAAUCUUUGAACGCACCUUGCGCUCCUUGGUAUUCUGAGGAGCAUGCCUGUUUGAGUGUCAUGA